rnacentral:rRNA from 1 species
CGUAGGGUGCGAGCGUUAUCCGGAUUUAUUGGGCGUAAAGAGCUCGUAGGUGGUUUACCGCGUCGGUCGUGGAAUCUUGCAGCUUAACUGUGAGCGUGCGGCCGGUACGGGUAGGCUUGAGUUCGGUAGGGGAGACUGGAAUUCCUGGUGUAGCGGUGAAAUGCGCAGAUAUCAGGAGGAACACCGGUGGCGAAGGCGGGUCUCUGGGCCGAUACUGACGCUGAGGAGCGAAAGCGUGGGGAGCGAACAGGAUUAGAUACCCUGGUAGUCCACGCUGUAAACGGUGGGCGCUAGGUGUGGGUGACGUUUUGUUGUCUGUGCCGUAGCUAACGCAUUAAGCGCCCCGCCUGGGGAGUACGGUCGCAAGGCUA